UUCUGCUGCAAAAAUAAAGUAUUUUGACAAUUUAGAAAGACUGAAAUAUUCAAGCAAAGAUUUUCCUUCAAUGUGUGAAGUAGUCAUCAUAAAAGAAAUCAACAGAUUGAAAAUACCAUUUCAGAAAACCCAGGGAGAGUAUUAUAGCAGCAAAACUGCAUUUAAAUAGCAUGUAGCUCCAAGACUUGAAGAGAUUUAUGUGUCGUAAUAUGCACAAAUGCCUUUCUCUUCAUCAUUAAAAGACAGAGCUAAGAGUUAAUGGAAAAGCAUAUGGACUAUUACUGAAGAGAAGACUGCUAAAUAGGACAUCUGGAUUAAGUUAUUUUCUUAGACUUCUUGUGUUUAGCAGUGAUAUAACAGGUGCUCUUAGCUUUUCUUUGCAAUGGGUACUCCCGCACAUUUAGAGGACUUAAAAGAAAAAUUUAUCUCCAGAAAAUAAAAUUUCAUAAAGUGAAUUUUGAAAUCCUUGUUUUCAGACAUUAGUAAAAUACCAUUCUGAAACUCAGAAUAGAUUUCAAUUAAAUCUUCUAGAAGCCAGUAUCUUCUGCUCUUUUUAGUAUGAGCAACUUCCACUAAACCUAGGCAUUAAAUGUAGAAAGAAAGAGAUGCAGAACUGAAUGCUACUGCUUGUUUCUAGGUUAAUACAGAAAGGAAGAUAUGGACUAAUGCAUGAUAAAGGACCAGUAUGCAGAUUGGCAUAGACACGUGAAGGCUGCAACACAUCAGAUUCAUCUGGUUUUAGCCACUAACAAACCUGCCUGUUCAUUCCUCUAGAUCAGGAAUGAAGUAUUAGAUGCAAAUGUUUGUAUAUAUUUAAGAACUGUAUUUUUAUUAAUGAAGAAGCAUUACUUUCUCAGCAUAAACAGAAAAAUAACAAUAUAUUUCACUUUCAGUUAAAUAUUCUCACAUAAAUAGAAUUACCUUUAUUAAUAUGUUUUCUGGUUUCACAUCUCUGUGAAAUAUCCCAUUUCUGUGCCAAUAUAAACAGAUCAGAGAGAAGAGUUCAGUGAAAAGAUAAAAAUUAUCAGUGCUUCCAGUUAUUUUAAAAAAAUAAAUAUAUAAAGAGUAAAGCAACUAACACUCUUUCAGCCUUAUCAACAGCAUAGUAAAAAAAUGAAUUUUACCACCAUGGUUGUACAACAGCUACAGGAAUGGGGAAAGGGUCAGUUGAGGAAGGUGUCAAGCUAUCUGGUGUUGCUCUCAGCAGGGUUAGAAAAGGAUGGAAAGGGCCCCCUGCUCCCAGCAGGGCUCCUGCACAAAGAGCAGAGCUCCCAUGGGGUGCUGUGCAGCACUGGCUGCCAGCUUGCUGACUUCCAGGGCUCUGCUACAGGCAAAGAAAUACCUGGGCAAUGGCCUUUUUUCACCCUGCAGCAGUCUGCUGCCUCACGUUAUACACAGCUGCUUAGAGAUGGCCCUGAAAUAGAUGUAUGAUGUACUGUAAAGCUGUUGCCGAAGCAGGUCUCUUACCUAUGUAUGUGAUCAAGAGAUUGGCAUAACUGAUACAUGUAGUUCUUUAUUUUUUUUUCAGGUAAUGGCUUUCUCCUUCCUAGAAUUAAAUUUCAAGUUGUACAAGUCCUUUUUAACACACAACAGAAUACAAAGAAAAAAAACAUCUUCAGCUUCCAACUGAUAUUACCUUUUUCAAUUAUACUAUUUCGGUCAUUUAUAGCUAGCUUUGCAAUUCAUUUUCCACUCAAAUUCAGACAUAAUUUAAAUUUCAGUAUGCACCAGAAUAGUUCAGCUAACAUAGCUGUCAAUUCAGUAGUCUAUAAACUGCCUUAGCUUUUACUGUGUGUUUUUCUUGCAAUAUCUGUCUCGAAGUUCUAAUAGAACUGGAAUAUAUCACUUCCAAAUCUCUCAUUUCCUUUCCAAAAAAAAAGGAACAGGCCGUAAGGUUCAAGAUUCCUAUCCAUCACCUCAAAUUAGUGCAAUGCUUAAAUAACUGUGAUUCACAAUUGAGCUGGAAAUUACAGGUUAACCUAGGUAGUUUAGCUUGCUAUUGCAGUUGUGCAAUAACCAUAGUUAUAACAUUUACCUGUUUUUCAGAGCCCUAAAGUACCUACACAGCUUUUUUUCUUUUACAGGCUCCAAAGGCCUUUUAAUCUUGCUGUAAUGCCUUUAUGUAAUGCUGCAAUGUCAUCAACAGUGGCAGAAGUGAUCACAUUUCUGAAAACCAGAACAGGUAACUACUGAAAUCUGGAGCAGAUGCUUUUCUACUUUCAGCUUUAUCACCAUACAAAUCUCAUUUGGAAGUCAUUAUGAAUUGAAUUUAAGACUACAAUAAUUUUUUCUUCAGGCCAUCUUCCCCACAUCUCUUGAGCCUUAUUUUUUUUUUUUAUCACUUUAAAUGACCAAACUGUUCUUGAUUAAACAAAAGGCAAGAUCGUUUUUCAGUUAUGAAAUGACUUGUGGUACUACUACAAAUUAAUAGUUACAGAAUUAUGACUUCGUGUACAGACAAAUAGCUUUAGUUGAAAUAAGAUGAAUCUGUUGCCAGUAUAAUAAAGGGGUUAAAAAAAAGGAUCAACAUUAGGCAUUACAAUGAACUGGCCUCCUAAUUAAGAGUGUCUUCAUUCACCUUGAUAAACUAGAAAUUAAUUUACAAUCAAUCCCUAUUUUUCUUCACUACAAAAUUUUGUACAAACCAUGCUUGCCUUUAAAUUUUUCUAACUUAAAGCUUUUUUUAAAUUGUCCUGCACCUUUUUUGAAUUUAAUUUUGCAAGAUUCAGAGUAUUCAGAAAAUGGCAGAGAUUUAUAUUACUAUAUACUGUAGAAAUAUACAAAAGACUACAAACUGUCUGUAACGUAACUACUUCUGUACACUCUGAAAACUGUUUUCAGACAGAGCAUCGCCAAUACACACAAUUUAGUUGUUCUAUAAAUUAACACCGCACUCCUUUAAAUUGUAACCCUGAAAAUUCAAAAGCAGCUCCUAUUUUCCAUUGUUACCCAGAUAUCCCCGGUCAAUAAGUGUUCUGGCUCAGAAUUGAGAUUAAUUUUCCAAUUUAAAUAUGAACUCAGAAUUUUUGCCAAAUAAUUAUUCUUUUAAAUAAGCUGCCACAUCUUAUAUUUCUCGACUUUGCAGUAAGCCAUAAAUAGAGUUGUCUGGGAGAGAUUUUUUAAAAAAAUAAAUCUUAUUUCUGCCCCAUAAGAAAUAGUCCUUUUGACACUUUGUAGGGUGAGAAAGGGGCUGUGGUGGAGUUCAGCUGCCUGGCAAGGUAAAACUACCACGUACUUAGGCCUGCUUUGAAACCAUCAGAAUUAAUUCCUGAAAAAAAAGCAGCUGGAAAACAGUCUUCCUAUGGAAAAUCUUCCUAGGAGUUUGAUAAGAACUGUAUAUUAAAAUUAAAAACGCAGAAUAUACUGAAACUAUUAGGCAGGUUUCCAUCUGUGUACAAGGUUUAAUAUAGCUGGUUUUGUCACAUGAAAAGAACAAGAGAAACAUUGAGAAAUGUAUACCAACUGAAAUUUGGUGUUUUGGAUUUAUUUUUAAAGGCAGUUAAAGAGCAAAUCUAAACAUUCUGAUUUUCCAUAAGUGAAGUAUAGUAUCUUUCCUAGAAAAAGCUACAGGAUUGUUUUUAAUGCGCUGGACUAAUUCACUGUCAAUGAGGGCUCCUUCCUAUAUUCUACUACUCGCUCUGACUUAAUAACUUCACAAACUGAUCACGGAAAAAUAAAAAGCAGCAAUUAUUCAUAGCUGAAUCUACAGAGUCAAGCAAGUGUAUUUUAAUCUCAGCUCUUUAUCUAGGUCAGAAUAGGGUUACUACUUUUGUUAGAGAUCUGAAUACUCAAUGUCAUGAACAUAAUGUUGAGAGCAAGUCUUUAUUCCACUGCACAGAAUAUCAUCAGUUGCAUGCUGAGUUACGGAAAUGAAUCUCCCAGCCCUGAAGACAUUACAAAUUUUUAAUUAUUAAAAAAAAUCCUCUUUUACUAUUGAAAUUGAAAGUGCUCCUCCAUUUAUUGUAUCCAACUCCUUUUGUUUCUGUAAGAGAUCUGUUUUUAAAUUAGCUUUUGUUCUAAACCUUUCUGUAGGAACUUUUCCUUAAGAUUUAUGGUCUUCCACCUGCCUUGACCAACAUCUCCAGAAUUCUUAAAUUUAGGUGCUUUCAGUGAACUAUGUUAUUUUAUAAAGAAAGCUUGGUUAAAGGCACUUUACUGGACACAAAAAUUGAAAAUCAUUAUUCAUCGAUUCAGUAGUCUUUGAAACAAAUGGGAAUAAUCUUCGAGUUGUUUCGUUAUAGUCCUGACUUAACAAGAGCCUGUUUAAGUUAUUUUUGUUAUAUAAGGUAAUAGUUUUGUAGAGAAGAUUGUUUCCCUGUUUUCAAGUGACUGUAGAAACAGAUCGCCAUUGACCUGACCCCUUAGAAAGCUUCUGCAUGCAUCCAUGCUUUAAACUGGGUAUUUUGCACUGGAAAUUAAUAUAGAAUGAAGCGGUACAGCAUAAAAAAUCAUUAAAAGUUUCAUAAUAUGUAACAGUGAAUAACCUUGUGCAAUACAGUUAAUUCCACUUUGCGAUCUGCAGAAGGAGGGGUUGUCUGCUUAAGCACAUGCUACAUACCUUUUAUCAGCUCAUAAAUAUUCAUGUCCAUAAGUUCACAUAUCAGUGAAAGAGAGCCGGCUUUUUUAUCACUGAAGAAACAAAUUAGGAGACUUUAAGAUACCUGAUUUACUCGUGAAGGUAUUUGAAUGCAUGUUUUCUGAGUAUGUGACGCUGUUCAGUAUCAGGAAAUUUCCAGUAAAUUAAAUGGUACAAUGUUACAAUAAUAUAGAGGAAACAUUAUGCCAGACAUGAAACACUUUCUCUCUUGGUCAUUACUAUCAGUGGAAAUGGGUACCUGACUGUGACUGGAAUCUCUGUUUUGUUGACAAUAGCAGUUUUAAGCGUUAUCAAGAUACGAUUAUAUAUCUGACACCUUAUUUUCCAUUUCAUUGCCCUGCAGAGGCAGAUAUCUUUAGGUCCACAGUUUUUCUAAGAAGAAGGUAAUUGAAUUAAAGUACACCCCCUCUACAAUGCUCCAUUAACCCAGACAACAAAAGGUUGUGGGUACAAUUUACAAUCCAGUUUACAGACAGUGAAAGAGCCAGGCGAGCUGGCUGGCCAUCUGGGUUACACUUGGUUAACAACACGGCAGCCGAAGCUGGCAAUUCCAGAAAGCUGAGCUGCUGCCACGAUUACCAGCUUUUUAUGCAUUUGUGCUAAAUGGGUCUGCUGAUAACAGUACAGUACCAGAAGCUGGAGCAGAGGAAUUGCUGGAGAGCUAGAAAAAAUGUUUUAGGCAUUCAACAAGUUUUGUGCCAAGUACUCAGAAUAAUGAACUACUUGUCUCCUGUUACAUAGUGAGGAAGUAUAGCACAGCAGUGGAGUAAAUGCUGUCAUAAAACUCAAACUUUGUGAGGCCUCAGAAGACACUUAAGUGCCAAAUGUGUCUAGAAGGAGCCCGACUCCAUCACCGACUGAUCUCUCUUCAAAUGCGUACCUCAGCUGCUGCCUAGUUCAGAGGUCUAAACUUCUAUUAUUUGCAAAGGGGUAUCUACACAGUUGCUGCUUUGCCUGGAUGCCUACUUCAACCUGCCAGGCCAACCCAAAAGCCCAGUAGUUCCAGGGCCCAUUUCAGCAAAUAAGCUAUGAGUGUGCCUAACCAAAAUAGUCUCCAGUAGACGUGACACCAUGCAUUAAAGCACUCCCUGGAUAUCGGAUGUGGGUUCAAAUCACCAGCAAGUAUUAUGUAUUAUGCCAUGAAGUUUAGCGAUGCUUAAAAUAUAUCUAGUCUGUCAUUUUAAUAAGGAUGUUGAAGUGUUUUUCAGUCUGCUACAGAAGAGUCAGAGCAAUAACAGAUCACCUUUUCUUAACCAAACAAAAAAAAGGCACAAUGACUUUAGAAUGUGGCAUAUCUGCUGUUUUUUCUUUCUUGUUGGUCAAGUUCCUACAGGUUGCCUCUAGGUCUAAAAGUUACUAGAUCUUGUUCAAAUAAAGGGUUAAGGAAGAAGUGAAUGCACCAUACUUACAAAACAACUUCAUGUAACAUAAGGAUAUUAGGAUGUGGACUCAACCUCCUUAGUGCUUGUAUUUCGCUCAGAUUAUUCACUUGUUCAAUACUAAAAUUGAAUUAAAAAAAAAAAAGAAAAAAGAAAGAAAAAGAAGACUGAUUUGCAAUCAGGGACUAGAUUAUAAUUGUCUUUCUCCCCUGCCAUGAGACAGUCAGAACCCACUCCAUUUCAGUCUGAAAUUGAACUUCCAAAUGCAGGACCUGCUUUGUUUCUUUAUAGAACAAGUCAGUAAAGAGGAGAAUGGCUUUAUUCCUCCCUGCAGUCCAGAGCAGCUGGACUUACCUAGACAUGAUUAGUAAGGCAUUUUGCUCCAGAUGCCAGCUACCAUGCCAAGCUGCUAUCUGGAAGAACUGUGUGUCACCUACCAGUACGGAUCAUACAGGUCAUUCUGAGCUGGUGUCGCAUACAUACCAAUUAUUGCUCAGCACGAUGCUGAAAGUGACGGUCUAGCCUUGCCAAAUGUAAUACUUAAAAUUAAGUUUUAAUGAUAAGCAAUUGCAUGAAAAAUGGAUACCAUUCAACUGGUGUUUAAAUAUUAAGUUGCCCUCUUAGACUUUAAUAAACAACAAAACUGCAUGCAAUAGAAA